UUCCUACGGGGGGCAGCAGUGGGGGAUAUUGGACAAUGGGGGGAACCCUGAUCCAGCGACGCCGCGUGAGUGAAGAAGUAUUUCGGUAUGUAAACCUCUUUUGUCAGGGAGCAAAGGGCGCCACGUGUGGCGCUUUGCGAGUACCUGAAGAAAAAGCAUCGGCUAACUCCGUGCCAGCAGCCGCGGUAAUACGGAGGAUGCGAGCGUUAUCCGGAUUUAUUGGGUUUAAAGGGUGCGUAGGCGGGCUGUUAAGUCAGCGGUAAAAGCCCGGGGCUCAACCCCGGCGAGCCGUUGAAACUGGCUGG
rnacentral:rRNA from 1 species